UUGCAAUGAUGCGAAUUUCUCACUGAAUCACACCUUGAAGUGUUAAUAAUGAGCUUUUUAACCCUGAGCAGU
rnacentral:snoRNA from 1 species